rnacentral:tRNA from 1 species
CAUCGGUGGUUCAGUGGUAGAAUGCUCGCCUGCCACGCGGGCGGCCCUGGUUCGAUUCCAGGCCGAUUCGU